ACAAAGCCAGCGCCGCCCGCCGGGCCGCCCCCGGGGCAGGGGCGAGGGAACCGGAGGGACCUAUCCUGGACAUGGGGAGCAGUCCUAGUCCCCAGAGGGCGCUCAGGGGAAUCGGCCUCAGACAAUGAGGGCGGCAGGGCCCGACGCUCCAGCGGGGACUCCGCGCUCUACUCACCCGGGCGCGGCGGCGGCGGCGGCGGCGGUGGCGGCUACGACGACUGCAGCGGUGCGGCCGGGCUGGGCCAAGGAAGUUAGAGCAAGUUCGGCGGCGCUGGGCGGGAGGGCGCGACUCAGGCCAUCCGAGCGCGGGGGCGGGGCGCGGAGGGGCGGGGCCGGGGGCGCGGCGCCCGGCGGCGGCUGAGAAAGGGGCGCCACUUCCCUGCGCCGCCCGGCGCGGCCCCGCCCUCCACGCCCCGCCCCCACCGCUCGCCCCGCCCGGCCUUCCAGCCCGCGCCUGGGCAGAACCCGCGGCGCCCGGUCCCCGGCCCGCCCCUUUGUCCCGCUUUGGGCGGGGCCGCAGGCGGGGGGCGGCCCUGGUCGGCGCUCGCCCCUUGGGUGAGCGGGGCAGGCUGAGGCCGGACCUGCACCCGGCGUUUGGGGGCCGGAGCAAUACGUGGACGCCACGUCGGCCUUGUCACUGACCCCACCGGAACCCAGCCUGAGAGAAGCGCGAGUUGUGGGUGCCACAACUCGGGGCUACGGGGGUGACCGGGUAGAGAGGUGGAGCCAGCAGGGAAAAUGUCUUUGAGGAGGUGAUGGUGAAAUUGAAGUCAAGAAAAUGAGGAGAUAGCUUUGGGAAAAGCCAAGCAGAGACAUUCCAAGUCAAGAACAGUUUGUGCUGAGGCCCUGAGAAAGGUAAGCUGUGAAUGUGUGAAGGAGCUGAAAACAAAACCUUGUGGCUGGAGUUCAGCAAGCCUGGGAAAAAGAACAAGGAUGAAGUGGGGAAGUGGGCAGGGACCAGGCCAUGCAAGACUGUGUUUAGGAAUGGAGACUUUUUAUUAAACCAUCGAGGGUGGGCUUCCCUGGUGGCACAGUGGUUGAGGGUCCGCCUGCCGAUGCAGGGGACGCGGGUUCGUGCCCCAGUCUGGGAGGGUCCCACAUGCCGCGGAGCGGAUGGGCCCGUGAGCCAUGGCUGCUGGGCCUGUGCGUCCGGAGCCUGUGCUCCGCAACGGGAGGGGCCACGGCAGUGAGAAGCCCGCGUACUGCAAAAAAAAAAAAAAAAAGUAAAAAAAAACAUUGAGGGGUUUUAUGCAGAAGACUGUGUUCUGAUUUUCUGCUGUGUGAAAAUAAAUUGGGUGGGUGGCAGGCACAAAUAAAAGCAAGGAGAUAAUUAGACUGUUAUGGCAGCCCCGGCCAAAAAUAAUGGUGGUUUGGACCAAAUUGGUGGCCACACUAAGGUGAGUAGUUGAAAGAUGCUGUUUUGCACAUGGACACUGAUAGGAUGGAUGUAGGGGCAGGGAAUAGAGAAACCAAAGAUAACUUUGAAGUUUCUGGCUGGAGUAAGUGGGUCAUUUAUUGAGUGCCUCAUUUAUUGGGUGGAGUAGCCUGGAGGAAAGGGACUACAGUUCAGGGAGACACAUCAAGAAUUCUGUUUGAGGGGCUUGCCUGAUGGUGCAGUGGUUAAGAAUCCGCCAGCAGUGCAGGGGACAGGGUUUCAAUCCCUGGUCCGGGAAGAUCCCACAUGCCUCGGAGCAACUAAGCCCGUGUGCCGCAACUCCUGAGCCUGCACUCUAGAGCCCGUGAGCCACAACUACUGAGCCCACGUGCCACAACUACUGAAGCCCACGCACCUAGAGCCCAUGCUCCACAACAAUAGAAGCCACUGCAAUAAGAAGCCCAUGCACAGCAAUGAAGACCCAACACAGCCAAAAAUUAAUUAAUUAAUUUUAAAAAAAGAAUUCUGUUUUAGUCAUGUUGAGUUGAGAUGCCCGUCAGAGAUCCAGUUCAAUUGUCCAGUCACUAGGUGCUCGGAAGAGAGGCCUGAGCUGGGAGUGGGGCUUUGGGAGGCAUCAUUUUAAUGAUGGUAAACACCUUGGGAUCUGAGGGAGUCACCUAGGUUGAGGAGGUAGAUGCAGAAGAGGAGAGGGUUCAAGAGGGACCCAGAGGAGUCAGACAGAGGAGCCAGAGCAGGAAAGAAGACUGAAAAAGAGGCUGGGGAGGCGAAAGGAGAACCGGGAGAGUGCUAUGUCCCGGAGACUGACAAAGCAGUGUUUCCAGAAAAGAGUGGUCAGCUGUGCUAGAUGCUACUUCCAGCUCAGAUAAGAUGAAGAAGGGGAAAGAUCCUUUGACUCUGGCCACAUGAAUGUCAUUGGUGCACAUGAUAAGGACAGUGUUCCAGGAGUAGUGGGGUGGCAGCCAGACCAUGGUAGAGCUAUAGUGUUUGGACAGCUUGUCCAACAGGGAACACAGAACAGGGAGAGGUCUAGAAAGGGAUGUGGAAUCAUAGGAGGCUUUGCCAGAGAAUGCUAGAUGACCCUAAUAGCCAUUCUCCCCCAUUUCCUUUAUUAUAGACUUUCCAGUUCUAGCUGGCCACAUGGCUUGCCUGAAUAAAAGCAAGUUUCUAGGACUCCCUCAUGGCUGCGUGUGGUCACGUGACUCAGUUCCAGCCAACAGGAAGGAAGUGGAGGUGUCCACGUGCAACUUUGGAGAAGUAGCUUUAAAGGGAAGUGGUGUGCUUAUCUCAGCCAUUGCUCUCUGCUCCCUGGAAUAUGUAAAUAGAGCUGCAGACAGCCUAUUGAACUUUGAAGCCGCAGCCAAGUUAGAAUAAAUCCGGGUCCCUAAUGUUUAGGGAGCCGCCGUGCGCGCUCUGGGCUCUUAGCUCUUGGUUUUGUAUUUGAGAAAAAGAAUUUUCUGUCUUGUUUAAUCCUCUGUUUUCCAGUGCUCAUAGCCAUAUCUAAUUUUUACUUCUGUUAGGAUACAAAGGGUUUUGUUAAAAUAUGGAAGUUACUAGAGCAGGUUUGAAGAGUCAUAGGAAUGAUGCAGGAGUGAUGCUUCUGAAGAAAAGGUGGAAGGAGAUGUUAUGUGAGCAUGAAUGGUGAGGACACCUCUGGUAGAGGGAUGGCUCCACCAUUAUUAAAAAGGGGGGUGUGGAGACAGAGAAGAUGUGUCCAGUGAAAGUUGCAAUUGGGAAGAUGGUCAUCCACACCUGAUGAUUUCUGGUUAACCCUGGAUGUGAAGGAGGUCAUGAGCCUAGAACAAGGAGGAGAGAGUAAGGCCAGCUUUGUGAAUCAUGGACCCGAUGAUGUUGGAGGUCCUGCCAGCCUGAGCAGCCUCAGGGAGACAGCUGCUUUCUGGAACAGUUGGCCACACUGCUGCAGGGCAUGAAGAGGGUGAGGGGAGUGCCCACAAAACCGGCAAGGCCUCCACCCCUCCCCCACCAGGCCUCACUGACAGUUACUUAUGACACUCGCCUGCCAUUUCCAGCUGCCCUUUGAGACCCACCAAGCUUUACCUGACCCAUUUUUACAAUAAUACGGGGUGGCUUCAGAAAGCAUCAGGGACACUCAAAGCAGGGCAGGCCCAUUUUCUCUUCCUUUCUUAAAAAGUAAAAAGAAUUGCCGUGGUGAUCAUUUUGAAAUGUAUAGAAAUAUCAGAUCUCUAUGUUAUGCACCAGGAACUGCCAUAGUGUUGUAGGUCAGUUAUAUACUUCAAAAAGCAAACAAGCUCAUAGAAAAAGAGAUCAGAUGUGUGGUUACCAGAGGUGGGGGGGUGGGGAGAAGGGGAAUUGGAUGAAGGUGGUCAAAAGGUACAAAAUUCCAGUUGUGAAAUAAAGAAGUACUAGGGAUGUCAUGUACAACAUGAUUAAUUAACACUGCUGUAUGUUACAUAUAAAAGUUCAGAAAGUAAAUCCUAAGAGUUCUCAUCAUAAGGAAAAAAUUUUUUUUAUUUUUCUUUUAUUUUGUAUCUGUAUGAGUUGAUGGAUGUUCACUAAACUUACUGUAAUCAUUUCAUGA